ACACUUGCCUGGCAGGGGCGGUACCAUGUUCACCAAGGUGGUUUUCACAUGGCAAGGCUUAUCCAUUGCACUUUGGAUGUGCUAAUCCCUGUAAUUUCCUCAACUAUGAGAAAUCCGACUUCAUAAUUUGUGGUAGUAGGGGACUGUGGUUGUGCUGUCACCUA
ensembl:snRNA U1 U1 spliceosomal RNA